UACGGAGGAUGCGAGCGUUAUCCGGAUUUAUUGGGUUUAAAGGGUGCGCAGGCGGAUUUUUAAGUCAGCGGUCAAAUCGUGGGGCUCAACCCCAUCCAGCCGUUGAAACUGGGGAUCUAGAGUGUGCGAGAGGUAUGCGGAAUGCGUGGUGUAGCGGUGAAAUGCGUAGAGAUAUGGAGGAACACCAGUGGCGAAGGCGGCUUCCUGGUCUGCAACUGACACUGAGGCGCGAAAGCGUGGGGAGCAAACAGG
rnacentral:rRNA from 1 species